CUACGUGGAUGACUGGAGGAGAUUAUGUCUUUUCAGCAGUGUCACAACCUGACUGGUAUGUACGUGCCAAUUACCUCAGAUCUCUUCAAGCUGAGGGGGUGUUUACAACACCGUCAGAUGUUGGCCAUGCUAUUUUAAGUUUGGUCAGCGGUAGUGUUAAAUGACGAGGACGUCAUUUCACGGUGGGGGGAAGUGUGUGGCAGAUGAUGUUUUAAUAUUGUGUAAAUAUGUAAUUUGUUAUUUUAAUAUUUCGCAGGUAUUUGUCAGAUAUUGUUGUCUGUCAAAUAGUAUUUAUUCUAUUAGUUUUCUCAGUCAGGUACCCUUUAUCUGAUUGGCUAAUAGCACUGCAUGCUUUUCACGUGCACACACUACAUGAACAGCAGACAUGUUUGACGGGUUUUGACAGGCGACAGAUCAGAAUACAUUAUAGGUUUUCACACUCUUGUUGACCACCGGCAUUGUUUACGCUCGUGUACCACAUACAGGGGCGUUGUUUGCAAUGACAUAAUGAACUUUAUGAAGUAAAUCAUUUCCAAACGU